AGAGGAGCACCAGAAAUAGUUUGUGUGCAUGUGCACGGGCCUUCUCUGACCCAGAUUUGCACCAGAAAUAAUGUUUGCUCAUGCGCACAAGCUAUUUCUGGUGCUCCUCU